CCCGCUGAACUUAAGCAUAUCAAUAAGCGGAGGAGAAGAAAUUAACUAAGAUUGCCCUAGUAACGGCGAGUGAAGCGGCAAGAGCCCAAAAUGGAAAUCUUGUACACAUCGUGUGCACGAAUUGUAAUCUAUAGGAUGUUUACUCACCGGGUGGUGGCGCAGAAGUGUCUUAGAACGGACCGCCAGAGAGGGUGACAGCCCCGUAUGUGGUGCCGCUACCUAACGAGUGGAUGUUCAACGAGUCGGGUUGUUUUGUAUUGCAGCCCUAAGUGGGAGAUAAACUUCUUCUAAGGCUAAAUAUAUGUGGGAAACCGAUAGCGAACAAGUACUGUGAAGGAAAGAUGAAAAGAACUUUGAAAAGAGAGUCAAAAGACUUGAAAUCGUUGAGAAGGAAGCGGUAGAAAUUUAUUCUUCUGCGGAUGUCGGUGUUAGUUGCCUAACUAUUGCGCUUUACUAGCACUGCAAAAGGCUAUGAGGCGUACAUGGGGAAGCGGCUGGCUUGAUGUUCGUAGUGAGGCAAAAUGAGGCCGCGCGACCGCAAAGGCUUCUUACAUCUGGCCGGGUUCGCCUGGCAAUGUAGGUGUGCAGGCGGGAGUGCGACCUGAGGAUGCUUUGUGCGAUUUUGCCAAAAUGGUUUUUACCGACCCGUCUUGAAACACGG
rnacentral:rRNA from 1 species